UCCUUAUCACCGUACAACACACGGAAAAUGGCAGCCCUACUAUACUCGGGCGACCAAUGCUUGCCAACUCGCGCACUGACACGCACUACUUGACAGGGCUCCAGCGGAAAUAACGCGGAGCAAGUGUCCCGCGCGGCCGCGACAACCUCGGCGCUCACUUCCGGCGGUCAGUGGGGUCACGAGGAACAACGGUCAUGCACUACCGUCGGCCGAGUCCACGUCAAAUUCGGGGAAGAAAACGUUCGCCAAUACGAAACCGUUGUUUACGACGCGACACCGCGUACGUUCUGCAAUUGGCCCCGCAUCGCGUUGGCAUCACUGUAUGCAGUUGACUGUCGGGCGCGAGCGACUGUUGGCUUCGCUGCGAGAUGGCGAUAAGCGGCAACUUCAGGCGACGCGCCACGUCGGUAGAUCAGUUCGCAGCUGCGCCCGUCUUCCGUUACCGUAGCGAUUUUCUCGAUCGACUGAGCGACUCCGAACAGCUGAGUCAUGAGUGUGUCCUGUGAAUUCGAGGAGUUUCGACGGAAGGAAACUUGAGAGCGGCUACGAUUGCAUGCAGUUUUAACUAAUUUAUUGUUGCGCAUCAGUGUCUCAGGAGGCCGUCAGCUGAAAAUUGUAGAAGCAGAUUGUGGGAAACGACGACGUGAGUAUCGAGACAAGGGAGAGAAAGGUAAGGGAGGACCACAAUAUCACAACGAUAAAUCCAUCGGGAGUUGAUCAGCCGAGUCUGCACCCAGUGCACGUAUUCUUGGCAUAUCCACUUGGCGUGACCAGGAAGGGACGCCAUCUUGAGGGUUUCCUCGCUCCACCUGCGAGGGUGAUUCUUUAUUGUUUCAAUAAGCACGGCACAGGUCCAGCCUUAUUAACGAAAUAAACCUCUUUUAACGGCGCUGCCGCGCUCCGCUUCUCGCUCUUCCUCCUCUUCUUCCUUUUUCUUUUCUUUUCGCUUCUUCCUGGUUUCUAUACCGCUCGCAAAAAACGCACGGGAGUCAAGUAAGCCUGCGGGAGAGGAAAAAGCUCCUUGGCGAAGACGAGAGAGAUUCGGCAAGGAUAAGAGAGGAGCGGAAAGGGACCGAGGGAUUCUUGAAAGAGUUCUCUUUCAGAGGAGUCCAAAGAGAGAAUCGAUAGGUUUUUCCGCGGGUUUCCAUGGAGACCGCGAGGCGAAUCGGACUGUACACGCGAUAAGCGACGAAGACGUGGAAAGAGCAUCGCCGCAGUGGCGUAAGCGCCAUCCCCUUUUUCGUUUCUCGCUGCCUUUUCCUGUCGACGAGAUUACAUAAGUUCCCUCCUGCGCCGUGCGCGCACAAUAAGACCGUUUCGCGUCACAAACGUAAUGCCACGAAUGAAUGAAUAAAUGUAACUCAACUUAGAAAUGCCAUCGAUGACAUUUUCCGCGAAACCAUCUUUAACUUACAUACAUCUUUGUUCACUAUGUUUACAUCAUGAGUAAAAUUGAUUUAAUCUAAAUCUUGAUGUAGCAACAUUUUAUCUAAUCUUAUUCUCAUGAUUGCGGCAAAAGUUUUGUUUCGUAAAAGAUACAAUUUGUUAAAUGUCUUUAAUAUGGCGACCUUACACGAUCAAUAAUACUAUCAGUAUCCCAAUAAAUACUGACAAUUUCAUUGAUUGUGUGCUAAAUAUUGAUGGAUUGACGUGGAAUGGUCCAUCUAUAAUAGAUGUCUACAAUAAGCCAUAAGCAAUUAACCGAUCACAGUCGAGUGAGAGGAGAAUAAUUAACUAGGAUGAAUAUACCAGAAUAUUGAUGGUGAUCUAAAGUUUUUUAUUCUCAAGCCUCAAUAUCAUCGUGUGAUAGAGAUAUUGACAGUGUUAAUGAUUUUGUGAAGAAGACGUGUUAAUAUUUUCGUCAGUACAGUUUUCCACAAUGACGAAGUCGCAGAAAUCGUAAAAAUAAUUUUAAAAAUAUUGAUACAUACAUACUAUCAGUAUCAUCACUGGUUUAAUAUUACUAAUCAAUAUAAACCGUGUAAGAUUCUUAACACACUUUUACGUUAACUCUAAUUGCGACGUCAGCCAAUGGUAACAAAAAAUGUUUUUACAAAAACAGAAAAUGGCGGCUGUAACUGACUUGGAAGAAAUUUUGCAACUGGAGAGGAAUCGGUUAAAGGGUCCACCUGUCAGUUCCUCCCACUUUUCCUUUCUUCUCGGUCCGUUUCUCUGUUGUAACAGAGUGUGCGGAUCCUUGGCACCGAACGACGUCGUCCGGUUCUCUUAACUGCCUUUACUUGCCGCGAUCGCCAUUAGGUUGAGUACGAUUGUGUUGGAGGCAUCGCCAGAGGUCGGCCAUUUUGCUAAGAUCGUUUCUCAUCUUUUACGAUGUUCGACACACCGUCGCUUAGCCGCCGCCGUCGCCGCGUGUCGUUUCAGCCCCGCGAGAAACAAUUGAAUGUCCCCGAGUUUAUUUUCGGAAGCCUUAAUUUAAUUUUCGUCCCGCUGAGGGAGCGCGGAAGAAAGAUGAAGAAGGAGAAAGAGAGAAAACCCAUAGGAAAAGAGGGUAAAGGAGGAAUGAAACGAGUGACCGUAGUUCAGAGACGAGUCUUUUGUUUCCUACCGCGCUUGUGCUUGCAAUGGUCUUUUUAAGUCACGUCGACCUUCCUGAAGAGAAGAUGCUGAUGUCCACUAAUGCGACUUGUCCGAUAAAUUGUAAAACUAACAUAUUUUAAAGAAAUGUAUAUUUUACAUGAGUUCUAUAUAAGGCACAUACAUUAAUGAUUCAAUUCCUA
rnacentral:lncRNA from 1 species